rnacentral:rRNA from 1 species
UACCGCGAAGAACUUUACCGGGUCUUGCCAUCCUUUGAAGCUUUUAGAGAUAGAAGUGUUCUCUUCGGGAGACAAAGUGACAGGUGGUGCAUGGUCGUCGUCAGCUCGUGUCGUGAGAUGUUGGGUUAAGUCCCGCAACGAGCGCAACCCUUAUUGUUAGUUGCCAGCAUUCAGUUGGGCACUCUAGCGAGACUACCGGUGACAAACCGGAGGAAGGCGGGGACGACGUCAGAUCAUCAUGCCCCUUAUGACCUGGGCUACACACGUGCUACAAUGGCGUAUACAACGAGUUGCCAACCUGCGAAGGUGAGCUAAUCUCUUAAAGUACGUCUCAGUUCGGACUGCAGUCUGCAACUCGACUGCACGAAGUCGGAAUCGCUAGUAAUCGCGGAUCAGC